AGAACGAACGCUGGCGGCAUGCCUAACACAUGCAAGUCGAACGAGACCUUCGGGUCUAGUGGCGCACGGGUGCGUAACGCGUGGGAAUCUGCCCUUGGGUACGGAAUAACAGCGAGAAAUUGCUGCUAAUACCGUAUAAUGACUUCGGUCUAAAGAUUUAUCGCCCGAGGGAUGACGCCCGCGUAGGAUUAGCUUGUUGGUAGAGGUAAAAGCUCACCGAAGGCGACGAUCCUAGCUGGUCUGAGAGGAUGAUCAGCCACACGUGGGACUGGAGACCACCGGCCCAGACCUCCGACGGGAGCAGCAGGUGGGAAUAGUGACAAGUCGGGACAAGCCUGAACUCCGAGAC
rnacentral:rRNA from 1 species